GAGAUGUUAGUAAACUCAUUACAUGGUCUUGUCAAGGCCAAAUCACAGGCUAAGCUCCCGUACAUCUCA
rnacentral:tRNA from 1 species